AAGGCUAUUGAAAAGCUUGAAUCUUUCCAGCCUUCCAAGCUGAAUAUGCGGGUUCGAUUCCCGCUACCCGCUCCA
rnacentral:tRNA from 2 species